AGUAACACGUGGGCAACCUGCCCUGGAGCGGGGGAUAACAUCUGGAAACAGGUGCUAAUACCGCAUAACAACGAAAACCACAUGGUUUUCGUUUCAAAGAUGGUUUCGGCUAUCACUUCAGGAUGGGCCCGCGGUGCAUUAGCUAGUUGGUAAGGUAACGGCUUACCAAGGCAAUGAUGCAUAGCCGAGUUGAGAGACUGAUCGGCCACAAUGGAACUGAGACACGGUCCAUACUCCUACGGGAGGCAGCAGCC
rnacentral:rRNA from 1 species